rnacentral:rRNA from 1 species
AUUGAACGCUGGCGGUAGGCCUAACACAUGCAAGUCGAACGGCAGCACAGUAAGAGUUUGCUCUUACGGGUGGCGAGUGGCGGACGAGUGAGGAAUACAUCGGAAUCUACUUUUUCGUGGGGGAUAACGUAGGGAAACUUACGCUAAUACCGCAUACGACCUACGGGUGAAAGCAGGGGAUCUUCGCACCUUGCGCGAUUGAAUGAGCCGAUGUCGGAUUAGCUAGUUGGCGGGGUAAAGGCCCACCAAGGCGACGAUCCGUAGCUGGUCUGAGAGGAUGAUCAGCCACACUGGAACUGAGACACGGUCCAGACUCCUACGGGAGGCAGCAGUGGGGAAUAUUGGACAAUGGGCGCAAGCCUGAUCCAGCCAUACCGCGUGGGUGAAGAAGGCCUUCGGGUUGUAAAGCCCUUUUGUUGGGAAAGAAAAGCAGCAGGUUAAUACCCCGCUGUUCUGACGGUACCCAAAGAAUAAGCACCGGCUAACUUCGUG